CCUAAGUGCAGUAUACAUAGGUGAUUAUAUUUCUGGUGGUGGAUCCUUAGCAUAUGAUUCUACAUAAUAUUAAAUUGAAGCUUUAAUGCAUGUAAUCAUCCAUUACUAAAUGAUAAAAUUAAAUAGUUCUACUAAGUAUUAUCCUAUACCUCAAACGAUUCCAAGCAUUAAAGAAAUUGUAGUAUUAAUGCAAUGACACUAAGUACUCUUAAAUAUAUUUUCACCUUGUCAAAUGGAAAAGAAAUUUGAGUGUAUAAAGGAAGCCAAAUGAAUACUAAAAGCUAUAUUUAUUGAGUCCUUACUAGGUGUCAGGUUCUGGGCUAAGGGCUUUGCACGCACUAUGUCUUUUAAAUCUCAUGACAACCCUGCAAGUAAAUACUAUGACUAUUCUCAUUUUACAGUCCAGAGAACUGAGUCUAAUAGACAGUAAGGGAUAGGCUCAAGGUCACAGAACCAAUCAUCUCAGAGUUCAUUUCCCAGCUCUUCUGAUUCCAAACCUCUUGCCCUCAACUACUUUGUUCUACUGCUUAUCUACUCACCUUUUAACACCUUGGAUCAUAAACGGCAACCUCUGUAAAUACAGAUUGAUCUUUGCAUUAAUCCCCAAACUGCUGUCAAUUAGCACAGGAUGUCUGGAAGGCCUGCCCGCAUCCAGGCACUAUGAGAGCCAUCUCACCUUGUACUGAGCCCCUUAAUCCUCUUCUCCCAAGAUGGGGCUCUAGUGGAGAGCCACAGCCUUUUUUAAAGAUUAUCACUAUUUUUUAAAUUAAAGGACCCAAAGCCUUCUUCUUUCCCUUCUUCUUUCUUUUGGGAGCCCAAAACAGCCUGCUCCCCAUGUGGGCCAGAGGAGACUGAUAGGUAGGCAGAAGAGAAGGUUUCCCACAGUUCAUGAAAAGAGACACUGGGAAGAACUUGGUACCUCAACCUCCCCACCCUUCCAAUGUCAUCCCAAAAUUAAAAAAAAAAAAAAGAAAGAAACAAAACGAAAAGAAAUUACCUCCAGCUGAUUGGUAUUAUGUAUGAAUAUCCAUGUUUAGAAACAUUAACUUCUGAAUGUAGUUUUAAAGAGCAAAUGCAAACAUUUGAGAGGACAAGUGUUAUUUGUUAUUAAACCCUUAUAUGGCCUCAUUAAUAAUCACGAUCCUUUUGCAAUAGAUCCUGUGCAGAGGUUUUCAAGCUGUGUUCUAGGGAGUGCUGUGCUCUGCAGGAGGGACUCAGAUGUUUCAGAGGUCAACUGGGCUAGCUGCCACCACUUUCCCUGUUUCAACCACACAGCUCUGCUUUUAUCUGCUCAUUGCUAGGCCUUGUGUUUCAUUUUGGAGAAAACAAACCACCACCAACAAAAGUAUUUCACGGUUUAUCUAAGCUUUGCCUUCUUGGAAUGCGUCUGACAACCAGCUCUGUUGUGUUUGCUUAAAGAAACUGUUUAUCUUGGUCAUUAUCAUUUUGUGGGGCCACUAAGGAGUGGGAACAGCUCAAGGUAAGCCAGGCCUCCUGGAAAUGUUUCCUUUAUGAUAUUUGUGAACGUUUUCAUCAUCAUUAUUAUUGUUAUUGGUGUUAUUACCAUUAUUUUCCUCAUUUUACUUAAGCUGCUCUGCCUGCCAGAAAGAAUGUGUUCAAAACAGCAAUGAAGUAACUAAAAAAUUAAAAGAAAAAAAAAAAGAAGAAGAUAUAGAGAACAAACUAGUGGCUACCAUCGGGGAAAGGGAAAGGGGAGGGGCAAUAUAAGGGUAGAGAAUUAGGAGGUACAAACUAUUAGAUAUAAAACAAGAUACAAGGAUAUAUUCUACAACAUAGGGAAUAUAGCCAAUAUGUUAUAACUAUAAAUGGAGUAUCACCUUUAAAAAUUGUGAAUCACUAUACUGUGCAGUGGUAACAUAAACUAUUAUACAGUGACUAUACUUCAAUAAAAACUUAAAAAAAUAGCAAAGAAGAAGAUGGCUUUACUUUGACAUUGGAAAUGGAAAAUUCUAUAGUUAUUUUAAAAACUAUCUCUACACACUGAUGAGGAGCUAUACCCAGGAUAUAUUGUUUGAAAAACUGUAAAACAAAAUAUGUGGUUGAGAUCCCUCGAAAACAUUUAUUUACAUGUGUUUAUUCUUGCAUGGGAAAAGUUCUGCCCCAAACCAUGCCAAACAGUUAACAAUAGCUAUCUCUGGAGAUAGAAUUACUGGGGAUAUUCAUUUGCAGGAUUACAUCUUUCCGUAAUGUUUUAUUUCCAUAAAAUAUGUAUACCAAUAGUUUUGUAAUCAGAAAAACAAUAAAGACACACUAUGAAAUGCCUAUGCUAGCAUCCUGAUCUUUCAGUGUUUUUCCUUAUCACGUGCAGCUUCGCCCAGGUUGUUAGGCAAGAAAACUAAUGGAUUAAAAUAAUUUGCAGAUACACCAGAGCAUUAGAACAUUUCUCUUUGUGCAGCCAUGGAUGUGAAAUACUAUGAUGGUCUGCUACAGGCAAUUUGACAAUCACACAGUUUUUAUGGUUGCUGGGUAGGCUAUGACCAAAAGGUUCAUGUGAGAAUGAGCUCUGAAUAUUGUUGAUGUAGGGGAGUCCAAAAUACUGUGGGCAGAAUAAAAACACCUCAAAAGGUUAGUUUUAGGUUAAAUAACUUUUUUUCAAAUGAUAUUUUCACUCAUGACAAAGAUGCUGGUGUUUCAUGACCAUGGAACAUCAGGCUUCCUUACUCCUUGCUAUAAUAUUUGUCAUGUGCUUUAAAAUCCCCUUUAGCAAAGAUGGUGAGAUUUUGUAUGAGUUCUUUAGUUUAAGCACCACUCAAGGGGCAGUCUGUCACCUUAAUCCAGAAUCCAACCACUCAGGGUUGUCACUGGCACUCCCAAUGGAAGGUCAUACACCAGAGGUGGCCACUACAAGUGCUUCUAGCCAUAUUUCAGUUUACAUAGGGCUUUAUAUGGGAGCUCUCUUUGUGUCUCAGCGGGUUACAAACCUGACUAGUAUCCAUGAGGAUGCGGAUUCAAUCCCUGGCCUUGCUCAGUGGAUUAAGGAUCCAACGUUGCUCUGAGCUGUGGUGUAGGUUGCAGAUGUGGCUUGGAUCUCACGUUGCUAUGGCUGUGGCGCAGGCCAGCAGCUCAGCUGCAGCUCCAAUUUGACCCCUAGCCUGGUAACUUCCAUGUGCUGCAGGUGCGGCCCUAAAAACCAAAAAAAAAAAAAAAAAACAAAACCCAAAAAACAAAACCAAAAAAACCCCACCCCAAACAUAAGGGCUUUAUGUAAUAAAUAUUAGAACCGGGCUUUCAUUGGUAAAUUGCUGGCUUGUUAAUUAAUUACCAUGAUGGAUGAAUUAUUGGUAAAAAUAUUGAUGUUCAACAGGGUGGAUUGGCUAACACAUAUAGCUAGGUCUGAAGCCUGGGUUCUUAGGAGCAACACCUGACAUUCAGGCUCUACGUGCUUCUGAGCCCAGAGAUGGGAAUGCAGAAUUUCUGCUUGCUUGCUUCUAUAAGGUAACAAUCAUGUCUACCUCAAGUGCUAUUUAAAGCUAGAUGCUAGGACUGGAAAAUAGGAGUUCCUCAAUAUACUUGUUCUGAGUAUUGCUUCCAUUGUAAUUGUUAGCAGUAUUGUGGGGGAGAAGCUAAAGCUCUCACAUUUCAAACAAUUUGGUAGCUACUGUCCAUCUAGCUAUCAUCUAUCUAUUUGCUUUUUAUCUACCCACCUAUGCAUUCACAUGUCUGUCUAUGAAACAACAGUUGUAUGUGAACGAAUGAAUUGGCUUGUUACGUUAAUUUUCAACAUUCCUGUUUAAAAAUAAAAUAUAAUAAAAUAUAUUAAAUAUAUAUGUACUAUUUUAUGUAAAAUAGAUAAGCAACAACAAUCUGGUGUAUAGCACUGGGAAAUAUAUUCAAUACUGUGUAAGAACCUAUACGGGAAAAGAAUCUGAAAAGGAAUGGAUGGUGUGUGUGUGUGUGUGUGUGUGUGUGUGUAACUGAUUCACUUUGCUAGCACACUGUAAGUCAACUAUAUUGCAAUAAAAUUUAAUUAAAAAAUAAAACAAAGUAGAAGAUGGGAUCUUUCUGUAACUAAGGUCAAUUCUGAUAUUUCAGAAAGUCACCCCUGUACAGGGAUGGGCCUUUCUUUAAAAAACAGGCAUUUUCUGAAAACUCAUCCCAAUUCCUUCCUACUUACUCAUCCAGACCCACAAACAAUUGGAUGAUUUCAGUUCUAUUAUAUCUUAUCUGUCUCCAGGUGUUAAGGCCGACAGUUUCUUUUCCUUGCAGCUCUACCCUUGUACCCUUGUUCUCCUCUCUGCUGCUAUUGUUUCUUCUUUUUUUUUUGGUCUUUUGUCUUUUUAGGGCCACACUCGCAGCAUAUGGAGGUUCCCGGCCUAGGGGUCGAAUCAGAGCUACAGCUGCCAGCCUACACCACAGCCACAGCAACAGGGAAUCGAGGUGCGUCUGUGACCUACACAACAGCUCACAGCAACACCGGAUCCCCAACCCACUGAGUGAGGCAGUGAUCGAACCCACAACCUCUUGGUUACUAGUCGGAUUCGUCCCCGCUACACCACGAUGGGCACUCCCUGUUGUUCCCUUCUUAAGUUCCCUUUUUUAUUAGCCUCCUAGAUUCUACUGCUUCCCCGAGUUCUAUUCUCUGCUUUCUUCCUUUCUCUCUUGGGCAUUCUCUUUAGUCCCAAGACCCAAACAGCCCGACUUACAUAUGGUGUGCUGUCUAGUUCGGAGAUCUCCUGUUAGAUCCCUAACCCCACCUCCCAUGCUGCAAACACAGAAAACUGUUCAUGCUGCCAGUGUGCCCUCAAA
rnacentral:lncRNA from 1 species